rnacentral:rRNA from 1 species
UACGGAGGAUCCAAGCGUUAUCCGGAUUUAUUGGGUUUAAAGGGUGCGUAGGCGGCCUAAUAAGUCAGAGGUGAAAGACGGUAGCUUAACUAUCGCAGUGCCUUUGAAACUGUUGGGCUUGAAUGUACUUGAGGUGGGCGGAAUGUGACAAGUAGCGGUGAAAUGCAUAGAUAUGUCACAGAACCCCGAUUGCGAAGGCAGCUCACUAAAGUAUGAUUGACGCUGAUGCACGAAAGCGUGGGGAUCAAACAGGAUUAGAUACCCUGGUAGUUCACGCCCUAAACGAUGAAUACUCGAUGUUGGCGAUACACCGUCAGCGUCCACGCGAAAGCAUUAAGUAUUCCACCUGGGGAGUACGUCCGCAAGGAUGAA